CCCCUCUCAGGGUCGCAUCUGGAGAGUUUCCAGUCCUCCGCCAGCCUCGGUUACGAGAGGGAGAGUCAAGCGGAGGCCUACCCGUUCCAUUCCGAGCUUGGCCAGUGGCUAGCGAGCGGAAGGCCGUCCGCUACGAGU